rnacentral:lncRNA from 1 species
GGUGGUGUAGAGAGAACCCCUAAAACUAAAAGAGUAAAAAAAUUAAAAAGGAUAAAAAAGGUAAAAGAAAGGUUAGUUUUGUAAUAAAAGAAAAAUUGAAGAAAGUUGGGGAAGUGGAGGAAGAAAAUGGGGAGGUGGAGGGAGCAACACUCUUAAGUUUAGGCUCGAUCCACAGAAACCUACCCUAAUAUUAAGUUCAAGUCCUCAACAAACAAAUCUAUUGGAAGUCCUGCUAUAAUCAGGGUCAUAAUUUUGGCAAUUGCUUCCUUCAUCCAACAAUUACUAACUGCACCUCCACGAUAUUUGAAAAUGGCUUCAACGUUCUUCAUCCACCACAUCACUAAUAUCACGGCUUUCAUCACCACAGCCAUUGUACCAUUGGUGCGGAGGAAGAAAAAGGAAGAGGGAAUACUGCAAAAGAAGAGAAAAAAAAACACUUGUUCUAAUUUUUUAAAUAUUUUCUGAAAAUCCCAUUCUGAAAAGUCUUUGCUAGAACGCAUUUCAUACAUUCCGAAAAUCAUCUUCUGAAAAUUUCAUUUCAGAAAUACUAUUUCGAAUAUUUCGGAAAAUAUGUUCUGAAAAGUUUUUGGAAUAUGUAAUCCAGAAAUCAUUUUUCUGAAAGGUAAAACGGAC